rnacentral:rRNA from 1 species
GACGAACGCUGGCGGCGUGCUUAACACAUGCAAGUCGAACGGAAAGGCCCUGCUUUUGGGGGGUGCUCGAGGGGCGAACGGGUGAGUAACACGUGAGUAACCUGCCCGUGACUUUGGGAUAACUUCAGGAAACUGGGGCUAAUACCGGAUAGGAGCUCCUGCUGCAUGGUGGGGGUUGGAAAGUUUCGGCGGUUGGGGAUGGACUCGCGGCUUAUCAGCUUGUUGGUGGGGUAGUGGCUUACCAAGGCUUUGACGGGUAGCCGGCCUGAGAGGGUGACCGGCCACAUUGGGACUGAGAUACGGCACAGACUCCUACGGGAGGCAGCAGUGGGGAAUAUUGCACAAUGGGCGGAAGCCUGAUGCAGCAACGCCGCGUGCGGGAUGACGGCCUUCGGGUUGUAAACCGCUUUCGCCUGUGACGAAGCGUGAGUGACGGUAAUGGGUAAAGAAGCACCGGCUAACUACGUG